rnacentral:rRNA from 1 species
CUGGCUCAGGAUGAACGCUGGCGGUCUGCUUAACACAUGCAAGUCGAACGCAACCUUCGGGUUGAGUGGCGGACGGGUGAGUAACGCGUGAGAAUCUGCCUUGGGGUCGGGGACAACCACUGGAAACGGUGGCUAAUACCGGAUAAGCCUUUGGGUAAAAAAUUUAUUGCCCCAAGAGGAGCUCGCGUCUGAUUAGCUAGUUGGUGAGGUAAAAGCUCACCAAGGCAGCGAUCAGUAGCUGGUCUGAGAGGACGAUCAGCCACACUGGGACUGAGACACGGCCCAGACUCCUACGGGAGGCAGCAGUGGGGAAUUUUCCGCAAUGGGCGAAAGCCUGACGGAGCAAGACCGCGUGAGGGAGGAAGGCUCUUGGGUUGUAAACCUCUUUUCUCAGGGAAGAAGCUCUGACGGUACCUGAGGAAUCAGCCUCGGCUAACUCCGUGCCAGCAGCCGCGGUAAUACGGAGGAGGCAAGCGUUAUCCGGAAUUAUUGGGCGUAAAGCGUCCGCAGGUGGCGAUUCAAGUCUGCUGUCAAAGCACGGGGCUUAACUCCGUUAAGGCAGUGGAAACUGAAUAGCUAGAGUACCGUAGGGGUAGAGGGAAUUCCCGGUGUAGCGGUGAAAUGCGUAGAGAUCGGGAAGAACAUCGGUGGCGAAAGCGCUCUACUGGACGGCAACUGACACUCAGGGACGAAAGCUAGGGGAGCGAAUGGGAUUAGAUACCCCAGUAGUCCUAGCUGUAAACGAUGGAUACUAGGUGUAGCUUGUAUCGACCCGAGCUGUGCCGAAGCUAACGCGUUAAGUAUCCCGCCUGGGGAGUACGCACGCAAGUGUGAAACUCAAAGGAAUUGACGGGGGGCCCGCACAAGCGGUGGAGUAUGUGGUUUAAUUCGAUGCAACGCGAAG